GACGAACGCUGGCGGCGUGCUUAACACAUGCAAGUCGAACGGUGAAGGCGGAGCUUACUCUGCCGGAUCAGUGGCGAACGGGUGAGUAACACGUGGGCAACCUGCCCCUCACUUCGGGAUAACUCCGGGAAACCGGGGCUAAUACCGGAUACGACCUCCUUGGGCAUCUUUGGAGGUGGAAAGUUUUUCGGUGAGGGAUGGGCCGGCGGCCUAUCAGCUUGUUGGUGAGGUAGUGGCUUACCAAGGCGACGACGGGUAGCCGGCCUGAGAGGGCGACCGGCCACACUGGGACUGAGACACGGCCCAGACUCUUACGGGAGGCAGCAGUGGGGAAUAUUGCGCAAUGGGCGACAGCCUGACGCAGCAACGCCGCGUGCGGGAUGAAGGCCUUCGGGUUGUAAACCGCUUUCAGCAGGGAAGAAGCCGCAAGGUGACGGUACCUGCAGAAGAAGCACCGGCUAACUACGUGCCAGCCGCCGCCGUAA
rnacentral:rRNA from 1 species